UACGUAGGGUGCAAGCGUUGUCCGGAAUUAUUGGGCGUAAAGAGCUCGUAGGCGGUCUGUCGCGUCUGCUGUGAAAACUCAGGGCUUAACCCUGAGCUUGCAGUGGGUACGGGCAGACUAGAGUGCGGUAGGGGAGACUGGAAUUCCUGGUGUAGCGGUGAAAUGCGCAGAUAUCAGGAGGAACACCGGUGGCGAGGGCGGGUCUCUGGGCCGUAACUGACGCUGAGGAGCGAAAGCAUGGGGAGCGAACAGG
rnacentral:rRNA from 1 species